rnacentral:lncRNA from 1 species
UGAACCCAGUUUUGCAGGAAGAACAGUAUGGCUAGCCGUACUUGGUGUGCAUAGCAAUGAGUGUAUGUCAAGCACUUAGCGAGCAUGCAGAGGCCCUGGGCUCAAUUACUAGUACCACAGACAAGGCAUAGCGGCAUAAUUGCAGCAUUUAGGAUUAGGUUUUGUAAAGCACCCUGGGGUCUCUCUAUGCAGCUCAAACGCUCACUAUGUAGCCCAGGUUGGCCUCGACCUUACAAUGAUCCUCCUGCUUCUGCCUUCCUGGGGGCUAAGCAGAGAACUCAAGGCAAUCUUCUUGCCUGAGCCUCCCAAAAGGGACUGCAGGGCUGACCCACUGUACUUAAUUAAAGAACUUAUAACAACCAAGAAGCUCUGUAACAACCAGACAGACAGCUGCUGAGAGAAAAACAACUCCAA